GGGUCGAAGCGGAUUGGUCAAGCAGGGGAAGCCAUGGCGGACCAUAGCAACAAAAGCUGUUCGUGAAAAGGCUGGUGUCUAUCUCUGGUGGUCAUCAUGGUAAACCCUGUAUAGGAUGCCAGUCUAUUACAACGCAACACAGAGACAAACAACUAUGCACACACAUAAUCAUACCUAAGGAGCUUUAGAGAGACCAAUUAACCAGUGGAAGGCAGCCAGAGUGCCCGGAGAGAACCUAUUCAUACACAGUUAGAGCAUGCCAACUUCAAGAAGGAAGAGCCCAGGCUGGGACUCGAACACUGGACACUUCUUGCUGCAACAGAGAAAUACAUGUGCAUGUCCAAGCACGUAUACAGACAGGGUCGUGCGUGCAGACAGACAGUCAGCUGUGCCCUUCCCACAGCAAGUAGCACGAAAACAGAGGGCUGCCUGUCCCUGCCUUACACACACACACACACACACACACACACAAACUCUACAAAGAGCUCUCUACACACUCUUAAAGGGACAUGACACACAAUUAAACUUAACCGUCAAGAGCCAGCACCACUCCUGGACAACUACAAAGUACAUGAGCUGCAGCUGUGUC